rnacentral:lncRNA from 1 species
AAAAAGGGUUUUUGCUUUGUUUUCUCUUGGGUGAGUACUCAGCAGCAAAGAAAUGGCACCCAAAGUUCAUACCUUUGAGGAGGUAGCUAGUCACAACAAGAAAGAUGAUUGCUGGCUUAUCAUCUCUGGAAAGGUCAACUUGUUUUCUCAUUGCAUAUUCACUUAUUUUUGUGGAUUAUGGCUUUCUUUUGGGUUGUGAUUAUAUGAAAAUUGCUUCUUCUUCUCCUUUUUUUUUGAAAAAUCUUGAUAUAUAUUUUUUCGUUGGAUAUACAAGACUGUGAUUUAAAAUGUGAAUCUAAGUUGGAUUGAUAAUCUGAUUCGGAAUCGGAAUAAACAAUGAAGUGAAGAGGAUAUUUGAACUAGGGUUCCCUCUUUUAUUUAUUAUUAUUAUUAUUUAUUUAUUUUUUAGGGAAAGAAAACUUUAUAGGUACAUGAUAGUAUCAUUUCAGAGCAUGAAUCCCGUUUGAUAUAUUUUUAGGUUGAUUAAAUCGUUCUAUAUGAUUGUGCGCAAGGAUUAAUGUCGAUUCGGUAAAGAAGGAAUAGAUAUUUCAGGUUUUUACGAUCCAUCUUCAAACAUUUUUCUGGCAGGAAAAGUCACUUUUAAGUAAUUUUUUACCGCAAAAAAAAAAAAAAAAAAUUUUUUGAGGAAUUUUAAAAGUUCUUUUCCUUUUAUGUUUACACUUUUUUUUAAAGCUUAUUUCUUCCAGUAUACAACUAGAUCCAUGGAUUGUUUCCUUCACUAACUAAUAACUAGUGAGUGAAUCAUGUAGGUAAAAGUUGUGAAUCUUCCUUAUGUGGGUUAAGAUCAAAGCAAUAAAUGGAAUGCUGCAAAUUUUUGGCAAAAGCCAAUCAAUAUAAUUUAUUGAAAAUUGAAAGAUACAAAACCUUUCUCUCUAUCAAUUCAGCUGAUUAGACACGUUGCUAUUGUUGUUGAAGAUGUGCAAUGAUUUCAUUUAUUGAUCUAGUGGACCCACCGCAAUAGUGGUGUGUUGAUGCUCACGAGAAUUUAUUCGAAGAGCGAUGAUAGUUUUGUUUCUUUUAAUACUACUAACGAACCACUGAAAUCUGUACUAAAGAGGGAUCCUUGAAACCCAAGUUCAUUUAUGAGUUAUAACAUCCUAGCUACUGGAUAGGCUAAAGCUUGACCAGACAAUGAGGGUUCUUACACAAAUAUUACUUAAUUUUAGGAAUUUAUUGCAGAGACUUGAGGCUUAUGUUACCCUGAAAUGAAAAAAAGACUACACUACCCUCACAUUCUUUUGAAGCCUAAAUAUAAAUCGUAGAAUUGCCUCUAAAGGUUUUCUUUCGUUAUAUAACCCUAUAAGAUUACAGAAAAAUUCCGUAGGACUUACUAGCCAAGCGUUUUAGGUGGCACUUUUGAAGACAAGUACGCGUAGUAGUUAACAGGGUUUUAACGCAUUCAAAUUAGACUAUUAAAUUGGUACAGUCAAAUCUGGACAAAGGGGAGUUAGAAUCACAUGAAAUUAGGUCAUUAGAAUUCAGCCUCUGUUUGGUUUUGUUAAAAAUCUGAAUUUUAGUACAUUUUAAUAAAAGUUGAUGAAUACAUGGUCGAAAGGUUGAUAAAAGUCAUGAGUCCCAUGAAAUGUGUGAUUGAAAAUAAGUAUGGGGGAAAAUGAGUUAAAAAUGGGGGCCAACCCUGUUUAUUAAUACAAAUAUGGUUCUUGAGGAACCAUAUGACUCAAAUAAGAAUUAGGCAAUGUUUAGUUGAGUUGCUAGUCCCCUUCGAUAUAUGUGUGGGGAUCGGUCGAGGAGGAGUUAGACAGUAUCUUAAACAUCGCUGGAAUUUAUCUAGAAUUCUAAAUACACAUAAAUUUAUACAUUCCUUCUUUUAUAUUUGCUCGUAAGAUGCAAGGAAUCAAGUAGAUCUGAUGUGAAGGCCAAGGGUAUGUGUUGGACUAUGUGGAACCUAAUCACGAAAUUUUUACUGGGGGUAUAUUGGAUAAUGGAUAGUUCACACGCGUUACUGCUCACCCAGGUAUUCCUAUUAUGUAUCAAGGAUUUUGAGAAGAGGGGAGGACUAACCAGAAAGACUUUUGUGAAGAACAUUGUAAUCUUUUUCAUUAUGGUGAAAAAUCUUCUAAAUUAAGUACUUGUAACUCUCACAUUGGCAUGAACCAUUAUAAAUCUAUGUGUUUAUGAUUUUGCUUUGUCUAUUACUGCAAACAAAGUUAUGGAUUAAUAUUUAAUCCACGAGUACAAGUUCUUGGCUGUUUCUUAAUGGCCGAAGAUGCUAGUAAUCUCAAAUUAAUGUAAAAUGCUGCCUUCAUGCAAGGCUUUUUAUAGUGUCAUUUGACAGUUACCUACUUCAAAUGUCAUUUUCUUCCGGCAAUGCUUCUUAAAGUUGUCGGAUGUUUGACCAUGCAAAGAUAAUUUCAGGCAUCUAAAACCCUUCUUAAACUCAAGCUUGCGCACAAAGCGAAAGGUUCUGACCGGUCCUGUCUCGACUGAAUCUGUUUGUGGGAGCACAAAUGACAAAAAAAGGAACCUUCCUCUAUCCAGCCAUUUCAUUUCAGAUUGAGAAGAUGUGAACUUGUGUUUAUCUGUAUAAGAAUGAAAUGGGAGAGACGUGAUGUUGUAAUUGGGGUUUAUGCUUAUAGUUUAACUAAAUUGAAACAUAGUAAUUGGGUAUGCAUUUGUUUGGUAGAUUCUAAUCAUGUUAUUAUUAUUUAUAUUCUCGUUUGAACUUCAUGACUCCUUUUGUUAACAUUGCGUUAGGUCUACAACGUGACGCCAUUUCUUGAAGAGCAUCCUGGGGGUGAUGAAGUGCUGCUAACAUCAACUGGUAAGAGCUGAUUCUAUGUUACACUUCUCAACAUUCCCUCUAACACGAACUCACUUUCUUAGUGUGUCUACAUUACAAUUUAUCGCAUAAAAUGUGGGAGCUUAUUUAACAUUUUGAUAUUUCUUGAGAUCUAAGAGCCAUUUGGUAUGAACAAGAAAGUAGAUAUCAGUAUCUUUGGUUCCCUAUUUAGGAUUAUAAUAAGUUUUUGUUAUGAAUUUUGUAGAGAAAGAUGCUACAAAUGAUUUUGAAGAUGUUGGCCACAGUGAUGACGCAAAAGUGACAAUGCAGAAAUUCUACAUUGGUGAGAUUGAUGAAUCAACUCUUCCAUCAGAGCAGAAAUACACCCCACCUCCAAGUGCAACUUCAACUGCAAACCAG